rnacentral:lncRNA from 1 species
GCUUUGUCUUCAACAUAAUAUAUUUAUUAAAUAAAUGUAACUGUGUAAUCAUGGAAUCUAAGCACAGGAGGAUUUCCAAGCUUCACCUCACAUCAAAUGCAGGCAUCAUAUAGCCUCUAGGCCUUGGGUUAUGUCAGGGAUUUUUGCUUUUCACUUAGACUUGCAGUUGUCUUUCUUAGAAGAUAUGAAACAUGUUGGUCCCACCUCUAGCCAAGUAAAAACAGGUAUGUGAAUAAAAUGACUAUCAAAACAGGUUCUUUUCAAAGCGUUGGAAAUAUUGGAUUUCUCUUGGCUGUGAAUGUAGUGGGAGUCUUGAUGUCUUCGUCAUAUUGGGGAGCUUUUUAUUCAGCAUACUAAAAACAUGUAUCUAGCAAUUUCUAGAGGGUGCCAGGACUUUUCUUGGGGUUAGAGUAAUGAAGAUGAUUAUACAAUGGCCUCUAUCCAGUUGACGCAACUGAUUAGAUUAGCUAAAUGUUACAGGGCACGGUGGUAUAAAAAAAUUCCUGGAAGACGGAAGAUUUUAUUCACCACAUAAGCAGUCAUGGGGUAGGUGUUCCACAACUAGUUGGAUGUGUCAAGGCACAGCAUCCUACAAAAACAUAGUCUGUUUUGAAAAAUUCAGUCUGCCUGAAGGUGGGUGGCUGGAGAAAAACUUGAGAAGUUAGGAGGGACCACAUCACCCAAUACCUGGUUAACCAACUAGGAGAGAUUUAAUGACUACCUGUAUAGCCAGCAGGAACAUUUAAUGUGGGGUACAAGAUCACCUUUGUUCUUUAGGAAGUUUGUAGUCAUUCAUAAAUCCAAAGGAAAAAGCAAAAAUUCAGGCCAUGUUAUGCCUCACAUGUAAAAUAGCCUGCUAUCCAGCCCUGGGCAUUGCAUUAUUCCAGUAAGGGCUAAUGUUGUAUAUUCUUCUCAACUAUUUCAAUAAAAAAUGUGGAGGAUACAUUCCAGUUGAAAGAUCACUUAUUUGAAUUUUACCUUUUAGUGCCAAGAUUGCAGGGAAAAAUAUCAUUUGUGAGCCUCUCGGAAGGUUGGCUGAUCUGCAGAUAGGAUAAAAUAUCCUGCAUGUACUCUCCAUUUGAUUUGUAAUUUACAUAGCAUCUCUUUGUUCAUCAAGGAACACCCUGCAUGACUUCCUGACACUGACCUGGAUUUUACUUAUGGCUGCCCUAAAUUGUGUUAUCAUGGUGUACCGGUUGUUCAGUAUUCAGCCUUGCUCCUCUGUAACUUAAUAUUAUGAUUUAUUUCUGACUUGGCUUUUCUUUAUCGAAUGCUGACUUUUUCUAAGAGGUUCAUGUGGAAAUGUGCUACAUGAAAAAAAAAAAAGGAGCACAGUUUGGCCUCAGGGCAAAAACAUGAAUACUGACCCAGGGACAUGAAUACAGGGCAGAAGAGAGAGUGGCACAGGCAACAAAAUUAACUCAUUUCUUUGCCUUUUGUGUGUUCCUAAGUGUGUGGAGUGACUCAAAUUUUAGCACAGAAAGUAAAGUUAGAAAGCAACUGCUAUUUGCCAACAACCCAUUCUUUAAUUCUCAAAGAUCAAAAAUUUGCUUGAAAACUGACAUUUUCAUUUUCUCCUGGCCCAGUGAACAAAGUUUUAAGGUUAUGUGGUCGCUCUGAUACCACCUAAGAAGCAAAUAUUUCUUGCAGUCUACUUCUAGAUGUGAAUGAACUGAAAGUAAAUGACUCAGAGAUGGAGUAAAUGUCCCUUGAAAUACACCCAAACUUAAUAAUUAGGAGAAGAGUGCUUGAAUAAACACAUUUAGAGUGUUAUUGAGCAUAUACAAGCUUAGAUGGUCCAUAUUUCUAAAAGACAGUGAGUCUAUAGCACAUUCUUCGGAGAUGAGAAAAUUAUGCCAUAAAUAAAAUUUGUAGUGGAGGCAUUUGUUUUAUCAUUCAGUUAAGUAGCAGGAAUUCUUUCAUACCUAGAGGGACUUAGGUAAAACUAAUAAACAGACAUACUUAACAACAAGAACAACAACAACAAAAAUAAAGCAUUACCAUUCAAGAGUGUGAAAUCACUUCUCUGAGAGCCUUUUUGGAUUGAAUAUUCUUUUUGGGCUGGUAAUGUCAAACUAAAACUUUACCUAAACACAGAUAACUAGGUGGCUCUUAGCAUACCUUUCAGGGCUUAUGGUCUCCAAUUAUUCCACUCACAUCCCCCUAUACAUUUCCAAAUCACCUCUUUCAGUGUCUCCAGUGUUUAAACAUGAACUGGAUAGAGUGUUGCAUGGUAGUAUUAAAUAAAAUUUAGCUUAAAGCUGUUUCCUUACAUAUUAUAAGUUCUGUCUAAAGGUUUCUACGUGCAUAGUAUACAUGUCAUUGAAAGUGUAAAUGGACUAUAACCUACUCUGAUACCAAUCACUGAGUUGUGGCCAAUCAAAGGUGGCCAACUGCUCAAACCACAUUCAAAUAUGGCAAAUGCUGAGCUGUAACCAAUCCCGUUGUUUCUGUACCUCAUUUCUGUUUUCUCUCUGUCACUUUUCUUUUUCUUUCCAUAAAUCUUCUUCAACCACCUGGCAGUGCCAGAGUUUCUCUGAACCCAUUCUGGCUUGGGGGAUGCCUGAUUCAUGAAUCAUUCUUUGCUCAAUUAAACUCUGUUUAAUUUAAUUUGUCUAAGGUUUUUCUUUUAACAGUAGAGAUAGGAGUACAACACACUUUGAGGUGUACAGGAGUGAGUUCAAAUCCUAGCUCUGUUAUUGGCUUGAUUUCUCAUCUUGAGCAAGGUACUUAGUUUCUCUGAGCCUUAGUUUCUGCACUUGUAAAUGUGGAGAAGUGAAACACCAGACUUGAGAGGAUGCUCUGCUAUCUGAACGAGGUAAUGGGAAAAUGCUCGGCCAGUGUUGUAACUCAAUCUUCUUAUCCAACAGUGAGCCCCUUGGGCACCCAGACCCAGACUCGCCCUUCUAGUCUCACGUCUUGCACUCUCUGGCACAUCUCAUGUAGGCUCUGUUGCCUGUCAUGUUUUCCAGUCCACAAAUACCCUUGGCAUGCUCUCAUGUCUGUACUUGGUCCACAUUAUUCUAACGUGAAUACAUGAAACUUCUAAUGACAGUGCAAUCUUUCUAGACAAUCUCUGAAGGAGAAAUGUUACUAGUCUGUGGUGAAUAUAAAAAUAGGCUCAUAGGGAAAAAAAACUGUGAUUGAAGGUAUAAUUCUGCAUUUUCUUGGGAUAUACAUAAAUAGCAAGUAGUCAUUUUUUACUUAAAAAAAAAAAAAGAAAUCUACAGAAAGAAAAUUUAGCUGUCUUUCUGUUGCUAACCUUCCAGGAGGCCUUGGUUCUCCUUUAAGGUUGAAGUUCGUUUGUGACAGGUUAGUGCUGCUCAUUUUUGUGGCUUUCCAGAAGCCACCGUGGAAAAGGCAGAAGUCUUCCCCUCCCAUUAUGCUGAGUCAGACAUGGCAUCUACAUGACUCAUCACCAAGUGGUUCUCCAGAAUUCACUUUGCUUGCUUUUCCCCAAUCCAGAUAAUCCUCGGGACUGGUAGCCACCCAACUCACUCCUGCACACUGUUCUUCCUCUUUGGAGGCACCCACCAUGCCUGUCUGAUGCUGCCCCUCAAGGUCACAUCGGAGUCUCCUGUACCUACCUUGUCUGUGGCUACCCAACUCUAUACAAUUUCUGAAGCUUUCAUAACACCCAGAUGGUCUAUAAUGUAAUAUGUGUUUAGAUAAUCCUCAGGCCAAAACAUCUUUCCAAAAUUUAACUGUAAAUCUGUCACUUCCAUGGGUUAUGUUAGUCUUUUCCAUGUUCAAAUGGCUAUCUGAGCUCCUGGGGAGGGGAAGUCACUCCCGGAGUUCUCUUUCCAUCAUUCAUAGUGUGAAUCUCACCUUGGGCUGGGAGGAAUUUGUGAUGGGCAUACAAGUGAGAAAAAGGGUGCAAAGGGGUGAGAUGGUAUGUUAGUCAGGGUUCUCUAGAGGGACAGAAUUAAUAGGAUAGAUGUAUAUACAAAGGGGAAUGUAUUAAGGAGUAUUAACUCACGAGAUCACAAGGUAAGGUUGCAUAAUAGGCCAUCUGCAACCUGAGGAGCAAGGAAGCCAGUCCAAGUCCCAAAGCUGAAGGACCUUGAGUCCAAUGUUUGAGGGCAGGAAGCAUCCAGCAUAUGGGAGAAAGAUGUAGGCUUGGAGGCUAAGCCAGUCUAAUCUUUUUUUUUUUUUUUGAGAUGGAGUUGCCCUCUGUCACCCAGGCUGGAGUGCAGUGGCGUGAUCUCAGCUCACUGCAACCUCCGCCUCCGCCUCGCAGUACCUGAGAUUACAGGUGCAUGCCAACACGGCUAAUUCUUGUAUUUUUAGUAGAUACAGGGUUUCACCAUGUUGGCCAGUUGGUCUGGAACGAACUCCUGACCUCAAGUGAUCCGCCCACCUCAGCCUCCGAAAGUUCUGCGAUUACAGGUGUGAGCCACUGUGCCUGGCCAAGCCUAAUCUUUCCACGUUCUUCUGCUUGCUUUUAUUCUAGUUACACUGUCAGCUGGUUAGAUGGUGCCCUCCCAGAUUGAAGGUAGAUCUGCGUUUCCCAGUCCACUGACUCAAAUGUUAAUCUCCUUUGGCAACGCCUUCACAGACACACCCAGAAUCAAUACAUUGCACCCUUCAAUCCAAUCAAGUUGACAUCCAGUAGUAACCAUCACAGAUGGCUAAUACGGGAGAUAUUCAUGAAGGGUCUGGGAAGGGGAUUUGGAAGAGAUAUGGACACAAAGGAAGGAGGAAAGAAAAGGGGAAGUGAGACGGGAACCAAACCAAACACCCUGUAUUGCACAAUUGAGCCUGGAGUUGGCCUGCUCGCCACAGAGCAGUCACAGGUUUUCAGGAUGCUUUAGUGAUAGCAGCCAUCAGUACCUCUCAUUAGGAGCAAAAGCCCUGAUUGGUAAUAGUAUAUUCUACUUAUUUAGAGAAUAAAAGUUCCCUGUUAGAACCAGCCUUCUCAGAAUGGCAUUCAGCUUUUCAGAAAAGCACAGCACCAGCAUAUUUCUUAUCUGCCUUGAAGGUUAUAAUAAAUCCCUUCUUCUGUUAAUUCAUAAAUCCUUCAGCCACAUGCCAUUUUGGGGCCAUAUGCUUUCUUUCCUCCCUCUAACCCUUGGAAAGAUCUUUCAUAUCCAAUCUCUGUAGAUAAUCUGAAUGUGAAAUCAGGUAUGGUUAUCUAAUCCCUCUAAUCAGAAGGUCAGCAGUUACCUGCAGCUUUUCCAUCUGUCCUCCAGCUGAAUGCUGCCAUUUAGUAAAUCAAAAAUUGGUUACAAAUUAGCAAAGCUGACUGGCUCAAUGAAAUCUAGCCUGGAGUCUUUGCUGGAAGGGGGGAAGUUUAAAUAUGGUUUGAAGGGAGAUUUGAGGUGAACUCUAUUUAUCAAAGCCGUGGAGUAGCAGCAUAAAAGAUGAGAGAUGUUCUCCUGGGUAAAAAUGUCAAAUCACAUGGGAAAUGGGAAUAUUUCACAUGGUGAUUACUGAAUUUUACAAUUGUUCGCAAAUUGAUUCAGCCCAGAAAUCAACUGGGAAGUCUCCCACAGGUGUCUAGCACUCUGCAGGUAUUAGCGUGAUACAGGGUAAGUCUCAAAGUACAAAAAAAAACACACAUGUGAAACAAUUUGCAAACAAUGAAGUGCUAACCUGUGUGGUGUGAAUUACAGAUGCAUUAGGACACCAGAAAAGGAAGAAAAGACAGUGGCAGCUGAAGACAUUUCAGGAAUGCUUCACUGAGAACCUAAGUCUUGUUCUGGGCCAUAAAGAAAAGGGGAGGGUGUGGUUUCUAUACCAGAGAUAAGAAAGGAGAAAAUUGGACGUGGAGGAAAGAUAUGAGUACCAAUCCGAGCGAACAAGGAAGAGUGAGUAAAUCUGUCCAGCUGGAGUUGGAGGUACAUUCUGGAAAAUGGUGAGAGAGGCUGUGUAGGGUAGGGGGACACGGAAAGAUGGGCCAAGACAUUUGGAGCUGAUAUUUGAUAUGGUUUGGCUGUGCCCCCACCCAAAUCUCAUCUUAAAUUGUAAUCCCCAUAAUCCCCACGUGUCGAGGGAGGGACCCGGUGGGAAGUGAUUGGAUCAUGGGGGCAGUUUUCCCCAUGGAAUUCUCGUGAUAGUGAGUGAGUUCUCACGAGAUCUCAUGGUUUUACAAGCGUCUGGUAUUUCACCUGAUUGCACUUCUCUCUUCUGCCUCCUAGUGAAAAAGGUGCCUGCUUCUCCUUCUGCCAUGAUUAUAAGUUUCCUGAGGCUUCCCCAGCCAUGCGUAACUCUCCUUCCCAUUUAUGAGAGAGCCACAUGACAUCAGCCCAUAGACUGUGGAGAGUAUUCCAGAUCUAUCACAUUCUGCGAUUCUGCGAUUCCCAGAAGGCUGGUCAUGAAAAAAUUCCCUCUUCAGUUUACAUAUAUGGCAGUGGCAAAAAAACUCUCAGCUACCAAAACUUCGAUUAUUAGAUGCACAUUGUUCUUUUGGUUGUGAAAAAUUCGAAGAAGUAGAUGUGGUCCUGGUUGAUGGAUGAACAUUGAGGCCCUCAAGUGCAUAAAGCUCCAGUGCCAUGACAGUUUUAAUCUUCUGGUUCCAUCUGCAUAGAUUUCAGUCUCUAAUUGAGGAAAAUCAUCUGUUUUUCUCAGGAGCCCCUUGAUUCAAGUUUACACAAAAUGUGCCUUUGGAGACUAUCCUGUUAAUUUAAACAGUUCAGAUCCCACUUGUAUGUGAGACAGAUGCUUCUCUGGCCAUCAGCCAGGUACCACUAAAGGAGGUACAGGCACUUCUAGAUAUCUGUUGAGGCCUGGAAGGGGCAAAACAAUUCAGGAAGCAGUUGAAGAUAAAGGGGUUUACCAUGGAAGAGAAGAUCCAGGUGCCUUCAUGGAAAUGCUUGUGGUUGAAAAGAGAUGAAGAUGAGGGUCCCUGGAAAGAGGAAGAACCAGCCAGGAAAAUUAUACCAUUAGCAAGACUGGCAUCAGCAAGUAGUUCGCAGUGUUGGUUGUUCUUGGUUUCGCAGGAUUUUAUAGGAGUUCUGAACACUGGGAAGUCCAAGAGCAAGGCAACAACAGAUUCAACAUCUGAUGGACCUUCUCCUAAAAGUCUUAUCUUCUAAGUCUCCUAAGUCUUGGACUUUUCAAGGCCAAAGAUUUAAAGGCCAAGUGGACCAUACGGGAGAUCUAGUUUCCCAUCCAGACAGCCAAGCUCAUGCAUCCCUGGAUUUGGAUGGAUGGUUUCCCAUGGGGCCUUGGACAGAUUGGACCCAGCACUGGCACAGGGUUGACUUGGAGGAAUAAGCUCCUGGAAACCUCAAUUAGCGUUUGGGGUAUGAACAUUAAACAAUACUGAAUCUGGAAACAAUACAUCACACAGCGGGUCCAAGGAAAUAAGCAGAAGGCUGGCAGCAGGCCAGGGCCAGGGGCCAAAUCGCUCCUCAAAGACAAUUCUUCAUGGAGAAAUGACAGCAGGUUUGAGGACAGCAGAAUUUCGCUCUUGUUGCCCAGGGCUGGAGUGCAAUGGUGCAAUCUCGGCUCACCACAACCACUGCCUCCUGGGUUCAAGCGAUUCUCCUGCCUCAGCCUCCUGAGUAGCUGGGAUUACAGGAAGUACAAAAACAUCCUUGCCGUUUGCUGGAAUGAUGUACUGCUGAAGGCAAUGGACACUGGGGUUGUUUGUCCCUAAUCACAAGUGAGCAAUACCAGAUCUAUUAUCUCAGGUUCAGAGAAGUGAGGUGUCUGACCUUCAGACAGGAUUGAAUGCAGAGUAAAAUAAUUCCAAAUAUGGUCUGGGCAUUGCAUGUAAUACAGAGUAAAAGUUAUUGUAAGACACUUUCGCCAGUUUCUGUCACUUGGUUCCUCAAAUGUUUAGUUCAUUCUAAUUACAUAAUCAGCCUUCUGAUUCAAUGAAGACUGAUGGGAUUGCUGACUUGCCACCCUGGAGUUCAGUUGGCAGCAAGUGAGGGAAAAGGUGAACUCUGUAAACAAGGUUUAGAAGCCCUUUUCUUAACUCUUUAUAAAACAGAGAAGAUGAGGAAGGAGAAAGGCACUGUCAUUAAGCUCUUAGCCAGGGAAUUACACAUACACACACGUGUGUGUGUGUGUAUUUCAACUCAAUGUACAAGGACUUCUCAGCCCAUAGCUACUUUGAACACAUUGUUUAUCCCCCAUAGCAUGAAGGACUAAAGGAACCAGAGAUUUCAUAAUCUCUGGCCUGUAACGUUUUUGCUGAAAUAUCUGCUGUUAUUCUAAUGGGGUUUCCUUUAAAGGUGACUAGUCACUCUUCUUUUGCUAAUUAAUUUUUUUUUUCACUUUGACUUUAGACAUUCUGAAUAUAAUAUGCUAUGAUGAAGCACUUUAUGCAAUGUAUAUUCCUGAGGAUUGCUGGGCCUCCUGUAACUAGAUGUCUGACUCUCUUGCUAGAUGUGGAAAGUUUUCAUCAAUUAUUUUCUUAAACAGGUUUUCUAAGCUUUUAAAUAAUCUUUCUUUCCCAUCAGGAAUACCAAUAAUUUCUAAUUUCAGUCACUUUAUGUAGUCCCAGACAUCUCAAAGGCUUUGUGCACUCCCUUUUAUACUUUUUUGUUGUCGUUAUCUUUGUCUUACUGGAUUAUUUCAAAAGACUUAUCUUCAAGUUCUGAGAUUCUUUCUUCUGCUUGAUCUAUUCUGUUAUUGAAGCUUUCAAAUACAUUUUGCAUUUCCUUCAAUAGUUUUUUUAGGUUUAGAUUUUCUGCUUUUGCUUUAUAAGAUACCCAUCUCCUUGAUACAUUUCUCAUUAAUAUCCUGAGUUAAUUUUCUAAUUUCUUGAAGUUGGCCCAAGGGUGGAAUGCAGCCCCGUGUUAAACUCUCAAAACUGUGCCUUGGGCCUGUGACCAGACAGAGCAGAUUUCUUCUCAAGUAAGUAGCAUAGAAAAGAGAGAUCCAAAUAAACACAAUCAUAAAUGAAAAAGGAGACAUUAUAGCUGAUAACACAGAGGCACAAAGAUCAUCAGAGACUAUUAUAAAUAACUAUAUGAUCACAAACC